AUUAGACGAAUCAUCUGGAAAGAUGAAUCAAAGAAGGUAAUAAUCCUGUAGUCGAAAAUGUUGUCUCUCUUGAGUGGAUCCUGAGUACGACGGAGCACGUGAAAUUCCGUCGGAAUCUGGGAGGACCAUCUCCUAAGGCUAAAUACUCUCUAGUGACCGAUAGUGAACCAGUACCGUGAGGGAAAGGUGAAAAGCACCCCGGAAGGGGAGUGAAAUAGAACCUGAAACCGUGUGCUUACAAGUAGUCAGAGCCCGUUAAUGGGUGAUGGCGUGCCUUUUGUAGAAUGAACCGGCGAGUUACGAUUUGAUGCAAGGUUAAGCAGUAAAUGUGGAGCCGUAGCGAAAGCGAGUCUGAAUAGGGCGUUUAGUAUUUGGUCGUAGACCCGAAACCAGGUGAUCUACCCUUGGUCAGGUUGAAGUUCAGGUAACACUGAAUGGAGGACCGAACCGACUUACGUUGAAAAGUGAGCGGAUGAACUGAGGGUAGCGGAGAAAUUCCAAUCGAACCUGGAGAUAGCUGGUUCUCUCCGAAAUAGCUUUAGGGCUAGCCUCAAGUGAUGAUUAUUGGAGGUAGAGCACUGUUUGGACGAGGGGCCCC
rnacentral:rRNA from 1 species